rfam:Lupinus angustifolius cultivar Tanjil contig_13112, whole genome shotgun sequence.
GGAUCUAUAGUUCAAUGGUAGAGUAUUUGAUUAUCGAUCGAGAGGUCACCUAUUAGAAUAUGGUUGGACCCU